AUUGAACGCUGGCGGCAGGCCUAACACAUGCAAGUCGAACGAGCGGCGGACGGGUGAGUAAUGUCUGGGAAACUGCCCGAUGGAGGGGGAUAACUACUGGAAACGGUAGCUAAUACCGCAUACCAUCGGAUGUGCCCAGAUGGGAUUAGCUAGUAGGUGGGGUAAAGGCUCACCUAGGCGACGAUCCCUAGCUGGUCUGAGAGGAUGACCAGCCACACUGGGACUGAGACACGGUCCAGACGCCUACGGGAGGCAGCAGGGGGGAAGAUUGCACAAUGGGCGCAAGCCUGAUGCAGCCAUGCCGCGUGUAUGAAGAAGGCCUUCGGGUUGUAAAGUACUUUCAGCGGGGAGGCGUUACCCGCAGAAGAAGCACCGGCUAACUCCGUGCCAGCAGCCGCGGUAAUUC
rnacentral:rRNA from 1 species